rnacentral:lncRNA from 10 species
CCUGUGAGGAGUAAGCCAUACAGCAUCCCUCCCUCCUUCACGUGACAAACUUUUCCUGAGUCCUGACCUCGGGGGCAGGAGCUGGAGAUACUACACUGGAUUAGAAAGAUGAGUUUCCAGUCAAGUGUGGGAGAGAGAAGUAGCCAGGAUGUAGAACCUGACAAGGGAAGAGUUCAGGAACUUGCCCAGUUGAGCAGCCAGUGAACGGGA